AGAGUUUGAUCCUGGCUCAGAGUGAACGCUGGCGGCGUGCCUAACACAUGCAAGUCGAACGAGAACGGAUAUAAGUUUACUUAUAUUGUCAGCUAAGUGGCGCACGGGUGAGUAAUAUAUAGUUAAUCUGCCCUGAAGAAGAGAAUAAUUGUUGGAAACGACUUGUAAUGCUCUAUAUGCCUCUAUCACAUAAGUGAGCAAGGGAAAUAUUUAUAGCUUCGGGAUGAGACUGUACGGUAUCAGCUAGUUGGUGAGGUAAUGGCUCACCAAGGCAAUGACAUCUAACUGGUUUGAGAGGAUGAUCAGUCACACUGGAACUGAGACACGGUCCAGACUCCUACGGGGGGCAGCAGUGGGGAAUAUUGCACAAUGGAGGAAACUCUGAUGCAGCAACGCCGCGUGGAGGAUGACACAUUUCGGUGCGUAAACUCCUUUUAUUAGGGAAGAUAAUGACGG
rnacentral:rRNA from 1 species